rnacentral:lncRNA from 1 species
CUCGUAUCUUUUCUUUUAUUGUCCAUAUUAGGGUUAACUCCUAAUACUAUCUCUCUAUCUAUCUAUCUAUCUAUCUAUCUAUCUAUCUAUCUAUCUAUCUAUCUAUCUAUCUAUCUAUCUAUCUAUCUAUCUAUCUAUCUAUCUUUUUCAGAUAUUGGAACACCCCUUAAGAUGGCUGUGGGUAUGUGCUGAGGGGAAGUGAAAGAGAUGUUGAACCACUAAUGUAACGCAGCGCCAGGCUCAUGAGAAAAGGGAGGAAACCCUGGAAGUGAAAGAGUUCAGUCAGUUGAGACUCCAUUUUGAGUGGAGAGAACAGAGCAGGAGGAGGACACUGAAGGCUGAGGCAGGACUGACUUCAGAUCAGAAGAUGAGUGGUUUGGAGGAAGAGGAGGACGGAGCAGAGUCUGUAGUAUCUGGCUGUCUGUCUAUGAAGAGUGACCG